rnacentral:misc_RNA from 1 species
AAAAAAAAUUUGUCUUUUUAAUUUUGUUUUUAUCCCUUUAAUUGACUUAGUCAAAUAGAAUAAUUAAAUAGUAAUUAUUUAUGAAGUAAUUCUUAGGUCAUGUAGGAGAUGUCAUUAUUCUAAUUUUUUUCUUUUUCUGUAAAACCCUCACUGUAGCAAUUCUGUACAUUCUACUAUUCCGGUGAUCGGUGUCAGUUUGGACAGCUAGAAUGUCUGGAAAAACAUUUAAACUAAAGUGAGGAGCCAUAAUUAACUCAAAUAU